rnacentral:rRNA from 1 species
GACGAACGCUGGCGGCGUGCUUAACACAUGCAAGUCGAACGGUGACUUUGAGAGCUUGCUCUUGAGUGAUCAGUGGCGAACGGGUGAGUAACACGUGAGGAACCUGCCCCAGACUCUGGAAUAACCCCGGGAAACCGGAGCUAAUACCGGAUACGACACCAGCUCGCAUGGGCAUGGUGUGGAAAGUUUUUCGGUCUGGGAUGGCCUCGCGGCCUAUCAGCUUGUUGGGGAGGUAGUGGCUCACCAAGGCGACGACGGGUAGCCGGCCUGAGAGGGCGACCGGCCAAACUGGGACUGCGACACGGCCCAGACUCCUACGGGAGGCAGCAGUGGGGAAUCUUGCGCAAUGGGCGAAAGCCUGACGCAGCAACGCCGCGUGAGCGAAGACGGCCUUCGGGUUGUAAAGCUCUGUCAGGAGGGACGAAGCCACUCAGGUGAAUAGCCGAGAGGGUGACGGUACCUCCAGAGGAAGCCCCGGCUAACUAC